GUCCUUACAUAAGUAUGCGGAUCAGGAAAUGCAGGCAACCAUGGAGGUAUGUGCUUAAAUGGUGGUGUUUCACCAAUUUGUAAAAAACUGGGUAUCAAAUUGGGUUGUUUUACCACAGGAAAAUGUGGAAGAGGUUGAGAAAAUGGUAUCUCUUCAGCAGAUUCCACAUACUCAACCAUCUCGCUAACAAUACCAGAACUUAACCCACAGCGG
rnacentral:misc_RNA from 1 species